rnacentral:rRNA from 1 species
GUGUCAGCCGCCGCGGUAAUACAGAGGGUGCGAGCGUUGUUCGGAAUUACUGGGCGUAAAGCGCGCGCAGGCGGUCCUUUAAGUCUACCCGUGAAAUGCCGGAGCUCAACUCCGCGCACGCCGGGGGAUACUGGGGGACUGGAGACAUGUAGAGGCAAGCGGAAUUCCGGGUGUAGCGGUGGAAUGCGUAGAUAUCCGGAAGAACACCUGAGGCGAAGGCGGCUUGCUGGGCAUGAUCUGACGCUGAGGCGCGAAAGCGUGGGGAGCAAACAGGAUUAGAUACCCUAGUAGUCC